rnacentral:misc_RNA from 1 species
AAGUCGUAACAAGGUUUCCGUAGGUGAACCUGCGGAAGGAUCAUUAUCGUAAACAAAAAGGCCUUGGGUUGUCGCUGGUCCUCCGGGACAUGUGCACGCCCUCGGUCGUUACAUCCUUCAUACCCCUGUGCACCUCUGCGUGUGGUUCUCUCCCUCCUCUUCGGCGGGGGGUUUGGGCCCGCGUCUCCUUAUAAACACCCCUUGUAUGUUCUUAUGAAUGUCUACUAUGCGAUAAAAAGCAUCUAAUACAACUUUCAACAACGGAUCUCUUGGCUCUC